rnacentral:rRNA from 1 species
AACCAGCACCUCGAGAGGUAAGGUGCUUUAAUGGGCCUAAAGCAUCCGUAGCCGGUUGUUUAAGUUUUCGGUUAAAUCUAUGCGCUUAACGUAUAGGCUGCCGAAAAUACUGGACAGCUAGGGAGUGGGAGAGGUACACGGUACUCGAUAGGAAGGGGUAAAAUCCUUUGAUCUAUUGAUGACCACCUGUGGCGAAGGCGGUGUACCAGAACACGUUCGACGGUGAGGGAUGAAAUCUGGGGGAGCAAACCGG